GGAGCAAAUUUGAAUCAAUCUUUAAAAGAGUAGCCUGCUGUGUCAGGAGUAGCAGAGAACUUCAAAUCUGGUGCAGAUAUUUGAUAAGAUUAAUCUUGCAGAGAUGCAUACCAAGGUGCUUGUCUGCCUGCUUCUGAUGGCUCUCAUUGGUACCAGCUUCUCAAGAUCUGUCAACUACCAUGAGAGCAAUGAGUUAAGCAGGGAAGCGAGGGCUCUUCCAAGACGGGAACAGGAGACGCGAAGCAGUGAUGAUAACAUGGCCGGCAUAAGAACCGUAGAUUUUGGAGCAUAGAAGUGGAGAUGUCUGAGAGAUCUUCUACCUAAGAGUGACAGCAGAGAUAAGUAGAAGAAAGAAGUGGCACAGAGUCCAAGGCAUCUAUUUAUAUGCAUGUUGUUUUUCCAUCUAUGUUUGUGUCAAUAAAAAUAUACUCUCAGCA